rnacentral:rRNA from 1 species
CUGGCUCAGGAUGAACGCUGGCGGCGUGCCUAACACAUGCAAGUCGAGCGGAGAUAAGUUGAAGCCUAGCGAUCUUAUCUUAGCGGCGGAUGGGUGAGUAACACGUGGGUAACCCUGCCCUGCACUGGGGAAUAACAGCUGGAAACGGCUGUUAAUGCCGCAUAUGCGCACGGAGCCGCAUGGCUUUGGGCGGAAAGAUUUAUCGGUGCAGGAUGGGCCCGCGCCGGAUUAACUAGUUGGCGGGGUAACGGCCCACCAAGGUGAUGAUCCGUAGCCGACCUGAGAGGGUGACCGGCCACAUUGGGACUGAGACACGGCCCAAACUCCUACGGGAGGCAGCAGUGGGGGAUAUUGCACAAUGGGGGAAACCCUGAUGCAGCGACGCCGCGUGAAGGAUGAAGUAUUUCGGUAUGUAAACUUCUAUCAGCGGGGAAGAAGAUGACGGUACCCGACUAAGAAGCCCCGGCUAACUACGUGCCAGCAGCAGC